GCGCAGCAGGCGAGAAUACUUCACAAUGUGCGAAAGCACGAUGAGGGAAUCCCAAGUGCUUGCACGUAAGUGUAAGCUGUUUCUCUGUCUAAAACGCAGAGAGAGUAAGGGCUGGGUAAGACGGGUGCCAGCCGCCGCGGUAAUACCUGCAGCUCGAGUGGUGACCGUUAUUAUUGGGCCUAAAACGUCCGUAGCCGGUUUAAUAAAUGCCUGGGUAAAUCGGACCGCUUAACGGUUCGAAUUCCGGGUAGACUGUUAAACUUGAGACCGGGAGAAGUUAGAGGUGCUCCUGGGGUAGGAGGUAGAAAUUCU
rnacentral:rRNA from 1 species